rnacentral:rRNA from 1 species
GACGUAGGGGGCCAGCGUUGUUCGGAAUUACUGGGUGUAAAGGGUUCGUAGGCGGUGUGGCAAGUCGGGAGUGAAAUCUCUGGGCUCAACUCAGAGACUGCUUCCGAAACUGCUGUGCUGGAGUGUGGGAGAGGCGCGUGGAAUUGCAGGUGUAGCGGUGAAAUGCGUAGAUAUCUGCAGGAACACCCGUGGCGAAAGCGGCGCGCUGGACCACUACUGACGCUGAGGCACGAAAGCGUGGGGAGCAAACAGG